rnacentral:rRNA from 1 species
AGCGAACGCUGGCGGCAGGCCUAACACAUGCAAGUCGAACGAACUCUUCGGAGUUAGUGGCGGACGGGUGAGUAACACGUGGGAACGUGCCUUUAGGUUCGGAAUAACUCAGGGAAACUUGUGCUAAUACCGAAUGUGCCCUUCGGGGGAAAGAUUUAUCGCCUUUAGAGCGGCCCGCGUCUGAUUAGCUAGUUGGUGAGGUAAAGGCUCACCAAGGCGACGAUCAGUAGCUGGUCUGAGAGGAUGAUCAGCCACAUUGGGACUGAGACACGGCCCAAACUCCUACGGGAGGCAGCAGUGGGGAAUCUUGCGCAAUGGGCGAAAGCCUGACGCAUCCAUGCCGCGUGAAUGAUGAAGGUCUUAGGAUUGUAAAAUUCUUUCACCGGGGACGAUAAUGACGGUACCCGGAGAAGAAGCCCCGGCUAACUUCGUG